UACAUUUUUAAAAACGUAAUUCUUAUUUAUUACAUUACAUGGAGUAAUUUAGAACAUUUCUUAGAAACAGAUUUUCAUUUUUCCUCAUUAUUAUCUAUUAACUGCACGCAUGGACUGUAUGUAUCUGAUUUGUGCCAAAAACCACGCACACACACACACACACACACUCUCUCUCUCUCUCCUAUUUAUAUUUAUAUUUCAGAAAAAACAGGUAAUACAUGCCAAAAGAGAUUGUUGGACAAAACCGUUGACAAUGGAAGCGGUGUACAUGAGCAGAUCAAUUGUACUCCAUGGUAAAUUUAAAAUUUUGCUCCACAAUUCCACAAUUUUACUCCCAGAGAAAGUCUUAUAUAUGUCACCCAUAAAUGUUUAUUCACCAAAUCAGGAAUAGUGGGCACUUUGCAAAUUCUAGUACAAAAUAACGAAAUUGGAAACAUU